GUCUACAGCCGGGCCACCCUGAACACGCCCAAUCCCUUCUGAUCUCAGAAGCUAAGCAGAGUUGGGCCUGGUUAGUACUUGGAUAGGAGACCACCUAGGAAGACCGGGGGCUGUAGGUG
rnacentral:rRNA from 1 species